AAUCUGAUCUCUCUUGCUUUUCCCCACAGGGUCAAGGUCACCUUGUUCCCUUUUUAUCUCCUUCACUGCACUUGGAGAAGAGAGGAUCUGCAAACAAUUCUACAGCCCAGAGGGAGGAAAACGGCUGAGAGCCAGGCGCCUUGGGAAAAGGCAGCAGAGAGCCCCACUGGCUGAAGAUGCUCAGUCUCUCACCAUGACCAGUGUGUCCACCUGCCCCGGUGCCAUAUCCCAGAGUUACCAUGUUCUUACACAGAGGAAAGAACAGCCUCUGUCCAGGGGAGGCACAGCCCCUGUCUCGGGGAGCUUCACCCAAAGGCCAGGCCCCCAGGAGAGGGCCAGAACCCUUGGUGUCCCAGGCCCGAGGUUCUUCAAUAAGGUUAUUUAACAGAUCUGGUGGCUAGAGACUCCCGUGGGAGACUUCAGCCCCAUGAGGAAGCGCUGUUUUCCUCAGGCAAACUAUGGUUGAGAAACAGGAGCUUUCUGGAGACAUUAUUCUUCAAAGGGUUUCUCACAGCCCUGUGUCCCAGGCUCCUGGCCAGAGGUGGAAAGGAGAGGGAGUGAGUGAUGGGGAGCAUGGUGUAGGGCACCACACAGAAGGCAGGAAGGAGAGGAGGGUCAGCAGUGCCACCAGACUGAGCCCCAAAUGAGGGGGAGUCCAGGAGAGGAGGCUUGCACAACCCACCACCUUGGGGUAGUUACAGUGCCACCCAGGUUUAUUUUUCCAACUGAGGGCACACUGAAAGGAGGGUACAUUGAAAAGUAUGGGCAUAGGGGAACUCAAGUCCCCUGGGCUGGGCUGUGGCCUCUUUAGAAGCACCUACAGCCUCAGCAAGGCCGGGAACAGGGAACUACUGAGGCUGAAAAAAACUUCAGUCUCAAUAAGUCUGCCCCCAGUCCCUGGUAACGCUCAGGCUUUGCAGCCAAAUGCAGAUUAAAGCUGCCUCUACCACAUGUAAGCUGCAUUCACUGAUUCAUUCUACAAUUAAAAAAAUCUUUUUGUUUUUGAGAAAGGGUCUGGCUCUGUCAUCCAGGCGGAAGUGCAGUGGUGUGAUCAUGGUUCACUGCGGCCUCAACCUCCUGGGCCCAAGCAGUCCUCCCACCUUAGCCUCCAGAGUAGCUGGGACCACAAACACACCACCGUGCCUGGCUAAUUUUUUAUUAUUAUUAUUUUUUGUAGAGACAGGGUCUUGCUACUUCACCUAAGCUGGUCUCAAACUCCUGGGCUCAAGCAAUCCCUGGUCUCAGCCUUUCAAAGUGCUGGGAUUACAAGCAUGAGCCACUGCACCCAGCCCCCUACAAAUUUGUUUUGUUUUGUUUUUCUUUUUCCAUCAUCUUCUUUGUGAUAGUAAACAAAUAUUUUUAGCUUCUGCUAUGUGCCAGGCCCUGAGCUAGGUGCUGGGGGUACAGAAAACAACAAAGUAGGCCGGGCGCGGUGGUUCAUGCCUGUAAUCCCAGCACUUUGGGAGGCCGAGGCGGGCGGAUCACCUGAGAUUGGGAGUUCAAGACCAACCUGACCAACAUGGAGAAAUCCCGUCUCUACUAAAAAUAGAAAAUUAGUCAGGUGUGGUGGUGCAUGCCUGUAAUCCCAGCUACUCGGGAGGCUGAGGCAGGAGAAUCGCUUGAACCCGGGAGGCAGAGGCUGCGGUGAGCCGAGAUCUUGCCAUUGCACUCCAGCCUGGGCAACAAGAGGAAAACUCUGUCUCAAAAAAAAUAAAAAAUAAAAGAACAGAGUACCUUUGAGGAACUUACCCCAUCGUCGGGGAGAUGGAAUGGUCACUAUAGAACACUAAGGUAAAUGUAGGUAGGGACAAUAACAUGCAUGGGUUAGUGUGGAGCACCUGUUCUGGGCCCCCUCUGGAGCAUCAUUCUGAGGAUGGCUCUCAGGGAAGCCUUCCUGGAAGAGGUAUAAUCAUUUGAAUUUAAAAAAACGAAUGGCAGUGAUCACUUCGGUAGCACAUAUACUAAAACUGGAAUGAUACAGAGAAGAUUAGCAUGGCCUCUGCACAAGGAUGACAUACAAAUUUGUGAAGGAUUCCAUAUUUUAAUAAGAAAAACAGGCCAGGCAUGGUGGCUCACGCCUGUAAUCUCAGCACUUUGGGAGGCCAAGGCGGGCGGAUCACCUGAGGUUGGGAGUUCUAUACCAGCCUGGCCAACAUGGCAAAAGCCCAUCUCUACUAAAAAUACACAAAAUUAGCCGGGCAUGGUGGCUCGUGCCUAUAAUCCCAGUUACUCAGGAUGCUGAGGCAAGAGAAUCACUUGAACUCAGGAGGCAGAAGUUGCAGUGAGCUGAGAUCAAACCACUGCACUCCAGUCUGGGUGACAGAGUGAGACUCUGUAUCAAAAAAAAAAAAAAAAAAAAAAAAGAAAUGGUCCCGGGAGAAACCAGUAGGAAAUAGGGGAAGCAGGAUAGGGAAGAGGAACAGUACAAAGCAGCUAGAUUUUGUUUUUUGGAGCGGAGUCUUGCUCUGUUGCCCAGGCUGGAGUGCAGUGGCAUGACCCAGUUCACUGCAGCCUCAAAAAUCCCAGGCUCAAGUGAUCCUCCCACCUUAGACUCCCAAGUAGCUAAUUUAAAAAAUAAUAAAAUAUAUAUAUAUAUAUAUAUCAGUAAUUACUAAAAAUUAGUAGUAAUUAUACUACUUUAAUAGUGUGCUAACAUCUUCCACUGUGUUGUGAAUUUACCUAUUUUUAUUUUACUUUCCUUACCUUUUUUUUGCUUUAUAUAUAUUUAAGUUGUGUUAUUAGGUGGGUAUAAAUGUAGGAUUGUUCUUUCUGAUGAUUUGGACCUUUUGUCAUUAUGAAGUGACCCUUUUAUCUCUCAUAAUGCUUUUGCCUUAAAGUCUAUGUGGACUAAAAUUAAUACAGACAUAUCAACCUUCUUUGGUUAGUAUUUGACAGAUUCUUUUCAUCCUCUUACUUUCAACCUUUCUGUAUUCUUAUGUUUUAUUUAGAUAUGCCCUUUUUUUUUUUUUUUUUUUUUUUUUGAUGGAUGGAGUCUUGCUCUGUCACCUGGGCUGGAGUGCAGUGGUGCGAUCUCAGCUCACUGCAACCUCCGCCUCCCAGGGUCAAGUGAUUCUCCUGCCUCAGCCUCCGGAGUAACUGGAAUUACAGGCACCUGCCAUCAUGCCUGGCUAGUUUUUACAUUUUUGUAGAGAUGGGGUUUCACCAUGUUGGCCAGGCCAGUCUCGAACUCCUGACAUCAGGUGAUCUCCCUGCCUCAGCCUCCCAAACUGCUGGGAUUACAGGCGUGAGCCACCAUGCCCGGCCUAGAUAUGCCUCUUGUGAACAGCUUAUAACUGGGUUCAUUUGCUUUGUCUAGUCUAGCAAUCUUUGUCUUUUAACUGAGGCAUUGAGUCCAUUUACAUUUAUUAAUAUACUGAUAUGUGCAUGUGUGCGCACACACGUUAUUUAUUUACGUAUAUCCUAUUGUUUGGUAUUUUCCCCACCUUUUCUAAGGUUUCCUUUUCUAUUCUUUUUGGCUUUCUUAAUUAUUCUUUAUUUCAUUUUUCUCCUUACAUAGUUUGCAAAUUAUACCUUUUUUUUUUUUUUGAGAGUUUCGCUCUGAGUCACCCAGGCUAAAGUGCAGGGUCACGAUCUUGGCUCACUGCAACUUCUGCCUCCCCAGUUCAAGAGAUUCUUGUGCCUCGCCCUCCAGAGUAGCUGGGACUACAGGCGCACCACCACUCCCAGCUAAUACUUGUAUUUUUAGUAGAGACGGAGUUUCACCACGUUGGCCAGGCUGGUCUCAAACUCCUGACCUCAAGUGAUCUGCCCAUCUCGGCCUCCCAAAGUGCUGCAAUUACGGGUGUGAGCCGCCAUGCUUGGCCUGUGUUUUUAAGCCCAUAAGACAUUGUUAUUAAUGUUAAUACAACAUUUGUUUAGACUUACCCACACAUGUACCAUUUUCUUUGUUCCAUAUUCCUUCUUGUCUCUCAUUUUUUCCAUCUAGGAUCACUUUUUAUUUCUGCCUGCUGGUGGCAAAUACAGUUUUUGUUUGUAUCAUGUCAUUGUUUUUUCUUACUUUUAAGAUAUCUUUUCACUGAUUUUAUAAUUCUUUUUAAAAAUUUUUAGUGCCAAUGAAUUCUUGCUUAUUGUUUGUACCUACAGUUGUGUCCUCCAGCUGCUGUGCCAGUUUAGACUACACCGUCACCUACCUCCUAAAGCACAUAGCAAAAGAGGGCAAGGGGGAUGGGCAUGGUGGCUCAACACUGGUAAUCCCAGCACUUUGGGAGUGGUAUUUUUCUCUUAAGAAUAGGGAAAUUAAGAUAGGCAUUUUUCUUUUCAGUCUGUUGGGAGGUAGUGGUGUUUAUAUCUAGCUCACACAUUCACUGAAGUCCCAAUUUUAGGUUUUUUAGACUUCCCACCUUAAAGGAGCC
rnacentral:lncRNA from 1 species